GGCGCCGGAUCACGUGACCCGGGGCCCAGCCACCCGCCUUAUAAGCCGCGCGCGGGGCGCCGCGGGCCCAACUCCGGGCAUUCCGGGCCGGGACCUCCUGCGCUUCCUCCUCCGGGACCUCCUCCGUCGGCGAGCCCGCGGGCGGGCGCCCCUCGGCCAGGAAAGCCCGUCCCACCCGGUGACUGAUGCCCAGACUGGACGAUCACUUCUGGAGCUGUUCGUGUGCUCAGGGCGCCAGGCACCGCGGCCGCCCGGCAGCCCGCGCCGGAGGGCUGGCGGCCAAGGUGGGAGCGAUGAUCACCUCCUCGGUGGCCGGGCCCUCGCUGCGGGCGGCCCACAGCGCCCCCCACACCGACCUGGCUCGCGGGCCUCGGAGCCCGGGCGAGAGGGCCCGGGGCCAGGGCAGCGGCAGCGGCCACGCCACCAGCUGGCACUACCACCUGCUGCAGAGGAGCCUGGUGCUCUUCUCCGUCGGGGUGGUCCUCGCCCUCGUGCUCAACCUGCUGCAGGUGCAGAGGAACGUCACCCUGUUCCCCGAGGAGGUGAUCGCCACCAUCUUCUCCUCCGCCUGGUGGGUCCCUCCCUGCUGUGGGACAGCGGCUGCGGUUGUCGGUUUGCUGUACCCCUGCAUCGACAGUCAUCUUGGGGAGCCCCACAAGUUUAAGCGGGAGUGGGCCAGCGUGAUGCGCUGCGUGGCCGUGUUCGUGGGCAUCAACCAUGCCAGCGCUAAGUUGGAUUUUGCCAAUAACGUUCAGCUCUCCUUGACCUUAGCGGCCCUGUCCUUGGGCCUUUGGUGGACAUUUGACCGUUCGAGAAGCGGCCUUGGGCUUGGGAUCACCAUUGCCUUCCUUGCCACGCUGAUCACCCAGCUGCUGGUGUACAACGGUGUCUACCAGUACACCUCCCCCGACUUCCUCUACAUCCGCUCCUGGCUGCCCUGCAUCUUCUUCUCCGGAGGUGUGACGGUUGGGAACAUAGGACGACAGCUGGCCAUGUCCCCCACCUGAUGUGUCCCCGCACACACAGCUCUGAGCCCUUUGUGAGCCGGCCUCAUGGCCGGGUUGCGGUGCAAGUUCUGCUCUGAGUCCUCUGGCUGAAGUUGCUGCGGACCUUCCUCUUCCUCCUGCCCGUCUCAUGCUCUCAGAUGGCCGCUUCCUAAAGGGCGUCCCCGAAAAGCCGCACAGCGACUGAGUCUCCCGCCACUGCUUCUGGGGGACAGCAGGCGUGGCCCCGACACCCAGGCUUGGGCGGGGCAGCGACAAUCUUCCCUCGGGAUCGCGGAGACUGGCCUGACUCACCAGGACUCCCCGGGGAAACCGCCCGCUUAGGUGAGCAGGCGCCCAGAGGGACAGCUCGCCUGGAGAUGCCACCUCAGCUCCCUCAUGCCUGCCCUGCCCUGCCCUGCCCUGCAGACCCUGGACCCGGCGGAGGCAGGUGGGCCGCGGGCGCCGUUUCCGAGCGUUCCAUGCUUUUUAUCUCAUGAAAAGCAAGUUGCCAUAUGACAAAGCCUUGAACUAAAGCCCAAGUCCCAGCUCUGGGUUGUGGUCCUGCCCACAGUGGAGAGCUUGCCGGUGCUUAACAAAGGCGAGUGUGAUGAGAUAGGAACAAUAUUUAUCCACAAGAUUUAAAAAUAGGGCUGUGUGAAAAAAGAGCUGCAGGGACGCGCAGUGGUCAGGACACCAGGCCCACCACGCUCUGCGGCACACCUGGGGUCACGGUGCCCAGGGGAGCCCCCGCCCACUGAGAGCGGGGGUUGAGAGGGCAGCUCUGCAGAGGACAGUGGGUGAAGUCGGGUCUGCCCUGGGUUUCCGCCUCCAUGAGCCGGACUGCUGUUUCCUUGAUGCUCUAGCGUCGAGAGGACUUUGCACGGCCCUGUGGGAUCUGCAAUCUGUGAUUGCCUUGUGAACGACCGUCCGUCUGCGCCAGCACUGGUGUCUCCGCCUGUGCCGAGGUGCCAGCGGGCACCGUGCGCCCCCCCUGGCACAGGCCCCGUGGGCCCGGGUUGCAAGCAUCGGGUCCUUCACUUCAAGUGCAAUGUGAACGAAAACCAAUCUGAGCCUUGUAUUCUCUACAUAUUUAUUUUUUUUAACGAGUGAGAUGUUAGAGGUUCUCCAUCCAUUUCAGCCCUGCAUGGAGGCAGGUCAGCAAUAAUUCCUCCCGGGAAGUCGCUGUUGCCAUGCCCACCUGAGCCCGGCUCCUUUCAGUUCUCCAGUUCUGUGGGUUUCAGUAAAUGUAACUCCUACUUACAAAUUUAUCUUCUUUUCUAUUUUGAAAUGUACAUGUUUUUGGUUUAAAUUCUGGGAAAGCAGCUUGGUUAAAAGGCUCCUGGGAUAGAAGCCGGCGGUCAGCGGGCAGGACUGGGCACUCGGCUGCCCGGGAUCUUUGUUGUUUCAAAGAAAAUCUCUUACAGUAAGUUCCAAGUUACUGUGGCUGAUUGUUUUAGGAGAAUUUUGUUGAGGAAAACGGGAUUGUCCUCAACUUGGCAAUGAGCCCCUAAACAUUUUCUGAAGACGAAUGACUAGAAUGUGCAAAGGUUUUCCAGCAGAGACGCCAGCAUUUUGUGAAAACCGGAAGUCAUCUGAAAGCAGUCAUCGAAUCUAAAUAUAUUUGAUGAUGGGCAAACAACUAGUGUUUUUUUCUCUUCAGCUGGAAGUAAAUCUGUAUCUCUUAGCAAGAAUGUGGCCAAAAGAUGUGAAUCUGGAGACUCCCUUUGCCAAUACUUUACAGCGAGUGCACGAACCAAAGUGACCCACGUCUUAGUCACUCGUGUGACCAGUGAGCGCGGCAGAGGAGGAGCAGCAGGGAGGUCCCGUUCACACUCAGUGUCGGCAUUGUGUUCUUUUUGCAUUCGUUUUUUAUGUCUAUUAAAGGUUCAACACCAA